rnacentral:rRNA from 1 species
GAUGAACGCUGGCGGCGUGCCUAAUACAUGCAAGUCGAGCGAACAGACGAGGAGCUUGCUCCUUUGACGUUAGCGGCGGACGGGUGAGUAACACGUGGAUAACCUACCUAUAAGACUGGGAUAACUUCGGGAAACCGGAGCUAAUACCGGAUAACAUGUUGAACCGCAUGGUUCAACAGUGAAAGACGGUCUUGCUGUCACUUAUAGAUGGAUCCGCGCCGCAUUAGCUAGUUGGUAAGGUAACGGCUUACCAAGGCAACGAUGCGUAGCCGACCUGAGAGGGUGAUCGGCCACACUGGAACUGAGACACGGUCCAGACUCCUACGGGAGGCAGCAGUAGGGAAUCUUCCGCAAUGGGCGAAAGCCUGACGGAGCAACGCCGCGUGAGUGAAGAAGGUCUUCGGAUCGUAAAACUCUGUUAUUAGGGAAGAACAAAUGUGUAAGUAACUAUGCACGUCCUGACGGUACCUAAUCAGAAAGCCACGGCUAACUACGUG